rnacentral:lncRNA from 1 species
CGCGGUGGCGCGUGCCUGUAGUCCCAGCUACUCGGGAGGCUGAGGCUGGAGGAUCGCUUGAGUCCAGGAGUUCUGGGCUGUAGUGCGCUAUGCCGAUCGGGUGUCCGCACUAAGUUCGGCAUCAAUAUGGUGACCUCCCGGGAGCGGGGGACCACCAGGUUGCCUAAGGAGGGGUGAACCGGCCCAGGUCGGAAACGGAGCAGGUCAAAACUCCCGUGCUGAUCAGUAGUGGGAUCGCGCCUGUGAAUAGCCACUGCACUCCAGCCUGGGCAACAUAGCGAGACCCCGUCUCUUUUGAACAAUAAAUACGUUAAUUUUGGACUCUCAAGAGAUGAAUAUUCUCAUAGUCUUUUUUAUUGAUUAAACCUUUUACUUUCUUUUAAUUAAAACGUUACACUUGGGAAAGGAGUUUUUCCUCGACUCACCAGUGACACCUACUGGAAUAAAUUUACAAAACAACUUAAAAUCAGCUGUAAUGAUCACGAGUCAACGGAUUAUCUCCAAGACUUCAACAUACAACGUUUGUGCACCAACAACAUAUGUACAGCUAAGGAAAAUAUUCUGUAUUAAAUCAUGGGUGUGCUCAUGAAGUACGAAAGGAGCCAAGAAGAGAAAUUAAUUCCAGUUCGAGGUACAUUUGAGAGACCUUUGAGGUAGACCUUGAAGAAUGGGAUUUCUACAGGCAGCACUUGACAGAAGGGAAUGCCUGGUGAAAGGAAGCGCUUGAGCCAAGUCUUCUGUGAUCAUCCAUCCAGAAUUUAAUCAUUUAAAAACCUUCAUCUUAGACGUAUACACUGCUGAUGGGAAUGUAAAUUACUUCAGCACUGUGGAAAGCAGUUUGGUGAUUUCUUAAAGAAUUUAAAACAGAACUGUCAUUUGACCAGCAAUCCCAUUACUGGAUAUAUACCCAAAAGAAUAUAAAUCAUUCUACAGUAAAGGCAAAUGCAUAUGUAUGUUCAUCGCAGCACUAUUCACAAUAGCAAACACACUGAAUCAACCUAAAUAGCAAUUUUUUAAGCAACAGUAGACUGGAUAAAGAAAAUGUAGUACAUAUACACUAUGGAAUGCUACACAGCCACAGAAAAGAACAAGAUCAUGUCCUGUGCAACAGCAUGGAUGGAGCUGGAGGCCAUUAUCCUAAACAAACUAACACAGGAACAGAAAACCAAACACCACGUUCUCACUUAUAAGUGAGAGCUAAACAUUGAAUACACAUGGACCCAAAGAAAGUAAUAGACAGCAGGGCCUACUUGAGGGUAGAGGGUGGGAGGAGGGUGAGGAUUCGAAAAGUACCUAUUAGGUACUAAGCUUAUUACCUGGGUGAUGAAAUAAUAACCCCUGUGACACACAAUUUAUCUA